UACGGGGGGGGCAAGCGUUGUUCGGAAUUACUGGGCGUAAAGGGCUCGUAGGCGGCCAACUAAGUCAGACGUGAAAUCCCUCGGCUUAACCGGGGAACUGCGUCUGAUACUGGUUGGCUUGAGUGUGGGAGAGGGAUGCGGAAUUCCAGGUGUAGCGGUGAAAUGCGUAGAUAUCUGGAGGAACACCGGUGGCGAAGGCGGCAUCCUGGACCAUUACUGACGCUGAGGAGCGAAAGCC
rnacentral:rRNA from 1 species